rnacentral:rRNA from 1 species
CAAAUAAGCGGAGGAAAAGAAACCAACAGGGAUUGCCCUAGUAACGGCGAGUGAAGCGGCAACAGCUCAAAUUUGAAAUCUGGCUCCUUCGGGGCCCGAGUUGUAAUUUGCAGAGGACGCCUCGGGUGCGGGUACCUACCGAGUUCCCUGGAACGGGACGCCAUAGAGGGUGAGAGCCCCGUCUGGUAGGACACCCAGCCCAUGUGAGGCUCCCUCGACGAGUCGAGUAGUUUGGGAAUGCUGCUCUAACGGGAGGUAUACUCCUUCCAAGGCUAAAUACCGGCUGGAGACCGAUAGCGCACAAGUAGAGUGAUCGAAAGAUGAAAAGCACUUUGAAAAGAGAGUCAAAUAGCACGUGAAAUUGUUGAAAGGGAAGCGCUCGCUACCAGACUUGGGUUCGGCGGUUCAACCGGGGCCACGCCCCGGGGCACUCCGCCGUCCCAGGCCAGCAUCAGCUUUCCGUCGGGGGCAAAGACGUCGGGAAUGUGGCUCCCCUCCGGGGGAGUGUUAUAGCCCGGCGUGUCAUACCCUUCGGGGGGGCUGAGGUACGCGCUUCUGCAAGGAUGCUGGCGUAAUG